rnacentral:rRNA from 1 species
AUUGAACGCUGGCGGCAGGCCUAACACAUGCAAGUCGAACGGUAACAGGAAGAAGCUUGCUUCUUUGCUGACGAGUGGCGGACGGGUGAGUAAUGUCUGGGAAACUGCCUGCUGGAGGGGGAUAUCUACUGGAAACGGUAGCUAAUACCGCAUAACGUCGCAAGACCAAAGAGGGGGACCUUCGGGCCUCUUGCCAUCGGAUGUGCCAGAUGGGAUUAGCUAGUAGGUGGGGUAACGGCUCACCUAGUCGACGAUCCCUAGCUGGUCUGAGAGGAUGACCAGCCACACGGGAACUGAGACACGGUAGAGACUCCUACGGGAGGCAGCAGUGGGGAAUAUUGCACAAUGGGCGCAAGCCUGAUGCAGCCAUGCCGCGUGUAUGAAGAAGGCCUUAGGGUUGUAAAGUACUUUCAGCGGGGAGGAAGGGAGUAAAGUUAAUACCUGUGCUCAUUGACGGUACCCGCAGAAGAAGCACCGGCUAACUCCGUG